AUCCAAGCUGUGGGAAGGUCGUGCUCCACGUGUUGUCGGCAAAGUAACUAUAUUCUUUAACUUUUACUUACAUUUGCCUUGGUGGCUUUAAGACCUUGGUGGUCAUUUAUAUAUGCCUUGGUGGCAAAAGACCUAGGUGGUCAUUUAUAUAUGCCUUGGUGGCAAUAGACCUAGGUGGUCAUUUUUAUAUGCCUUGGUGGCAAUAGACCUAGGUGGUCAUUUUUAUGAUUUUUUACAUUUGCCUUGAUGGGAACAAUGAAUUAAAAAUACUAGCCUUGGGGGCGUCAAGACCUUGGUGGUCAUUUAUAUUUGCCUUGGCGGCUUCUUGAUAGAACUAGAUGGUAAUGUUUGACCUUGGUGGCAAAAAUGUUUUGGGAUUUAGACCUUAAUAGGUAGUUAUUAUCAACCCAGGUGGUCAGAUAUUUGUUAUGCCGUGCGCCGGUUAAACGCAGGGCAAAGUGCUAUCGCUAUAUAAAAUAUAUGUGGAAGUGGGGGCUCUGGCCAUUUUGGAAAUUGUAGUUGAAAGGAGAAUAAUAAAUUGUUUAUAGGGUAAAUAGUUUCUUUUGUUACUUUUGACUGUGUUGUGGACUUUUCAUUUAUUUUUACAUCGUACAUACUGAUAGAAAUGCUAUUUAAAGACUUUGUUAGAAAAGAAUAGAAUUAUUGAGAAAGUGGAAUAAUUUAGUGUGACAUGUCACUUGAUAUUCAUGUUUUUUAUCGGAGUGAUGUGUAUUGAAUUAUAAGGUGUCUUCGUCGAGGUCCGCGUUCAGCGGUCUGUUUGAUUGUACAUAGAAUUGAAUAGAAUGUUUUUUGUUUUCAGAUGGUGUUACCUACAGCUUUGACAGGGUGACGAAUGAAGGAGAAGUAAUAUGACAUUGCACGAUGAUUCAUGUCAAUGAGUUCGAACAACCUUUUUAAAAGGAAAGGAUUUUUUCUAAUCAGAAUAUGGUGAGAACAAAUUACAAUUGAAGUAAUGUUUUGA
rnacentral:lncRNA from 1 species